rnacentral:rRNA from 1 species
AUUGAACGCUGGCGGCAGGCCUAACACAUGCAAGUCGAGCGAGCGGCGGACGGGUGAGUAAUGUCUGGGAAACUGCCUGAUGGAGGGGGAUAACUACUGGAAACGGUAGCUAAUACCCCAUACCAUCAGAUGUGCCCAGAUGGGAUUAGCUAGUAGGUGGGGUAAUGGCUCACCUAGGCGAGGAUACCUAGCUGGUCUGAGAGUAUGACCAGCAAAAAUGGAACUGAGACAAGGUCCAGACUCCUACGGGAGGCAGCAGUGGGGAAUAUUGCACAAUGGGCGCAAGCCUGAUGCAGCCAGGCCGCGUGUGUGAAGAAGGACGUCGGGUUGUAAAGCACUUUCAGCGGGGAGGCGUUACCCGCAGAAGAAGCACCGGCGAACUCCGUGCCAGCAGCCGCGGUAAUUC